CUUGAGUAUACCAUAAUUAACCGAAUUCCUCCUCUGCCCCAGGUCCCAAGCAGCUCUGUACAGGGAAGAUGCACAUCUGCCUUCUGUGAGAUAGAUGAGAAUCCAUCAAAGAACAAGAGAGCGGGGAAGGCCCUAAAGAACAUACAGUCCCACGUGUUCUUUUGACAGACAAGAAAACUAAGACUCCAAGAAGGAAGAAUAACAGCUCACCUGGAUAACAGAGCUGAGGGGCACGAAAAGAGUCUGGCUGCUGAAAUCUCAAGAAUGCUGGGUCUCUCCUAAGGCAUCUGAGAACCGUGUCCUUGGGCAGACAUCAGCAGCCUCCACACCAGCAAGGAGAAAACCGGGGAACUCAGUAUCCCAGACUCCAUCUCCUCUCCUCUCCAAUCUCUUGCCUCUGUUUUGGUAGGCCAAACAUUACUGAUUGCAGGUGAUCCCAUUCUCAGAGGCCAACCUGCAGAGAGGGACAACUGAAGCAAGAUGAGAAAGCCUGGCAGAGUUGGUUAAGGUGAUCAUCAUGGCAAGAGCCAUGGUCGUCUUCUCUCCACACUUUACCUCUGAGCCCAAUUUCUGCCCUCUCCUAAAGUCAUGUUGAAAUUUAACUGCGAUUAUCGGAGUACUAAGAGGUAGGGACCUCAGAGGUGUUUUUGUCAGGAGUGCAGUGUCCUGCAAAAGAG
rnacentral:lncRNA from 1 species